UACAGAGGUCCCGAGCGUUGUUCGGAUUCACUGGGCGUAAAGGGUGCGCAGGUGGCUUGGCAAGUUUGAUGUGAAAGCUCAGGGCUUAACCCUGAAAUGGCAUUGAAUACUGUUGAGCUGGAGGUUUGGAGGGGGGACUGGAAUUCUUGGUGUAGCAGUGAAAUGCGUAGAUAUCGAGAGGAACACCAGUGGCGAAGGCGAGUCCCUGGACAACUCCUGACGCUGAGGCACGAAAGCUAGGGGAGCAAACAGG
rnacentral:rRNA from 1 species